GUACUAACUCCUGAGAGGAGUUCUGUUAAACACAGUUUUCUUCAUUUGUUAUAUUUCCAGUGAUGUUUUGGAGUCCCAUAUGGACAGGAGCCCUGGGCGGCUGCCUGGCUGCUGUGCCAAUUAAUCAUGUCCAGGAGGAGGGAACGUGGGGAGAAGCCAUUGGAUUGGCUGUUGUCGAUAACCCUUGGGCAGAGCUGUUUCAGUGGGGAGGCAGGGAAGGAUGCUAGAUUAAGCAAAGAGUAAAUGUGUCCUGAAGCUGUGGAAUCAGUGAGUGUGAAGAGGUGUUUUGAGAAGCUUGAUAGAUUGAGGAGUGAAGGAAAAUGGCCCUCAUUUCUCUUUAAUUAUAGGGAAGAUCUGAAAAUGUUGCUAAACAAUGGAAAAGGGUUCAUUAAACAGGGAGACUUCAACUGUGUAAAAGAGAUGGGGCCACUGAGGGGUAAAGAAUGUCAAGAAGAGACAGAUGGGAGAAGGACAAAGAGUAGCUGAGAGGUUGAGCUUUGGAGCUGGACAUACUAAGAUCUGAAUCCCAGCUCUACCUUUUUCUAGCUGUGCAUCCUUGGGCAAAUUGCUUAACCUUUCUGGGCCAUUGCCUAGACUUUAAAAUGGGGUUAAUAAUGCUUGCCUCACAGAGUUGUUCUAAGAGCCAAAUAAAUAGAAUGCUAUGGAAUGUUCUCUCAUGCCUGACUCCUUGUGAUCCCAUGAACUGCAGGCUGCCAGGCUCCUCUGUCCAUGGAAUUUUUCCAGAUGUUUUCUGGCCAGUGGAAUCUGAGGAAAACUCUACUGAGGGUGGAAGCUUCUGGGAAAGACUUUUCUCCUUCAUAAAAAAGAGAGUCAAGAAGCCCACGGAUUCCUCAAUACAGCUAAGCAUGCCCGAUCAACUUCAGAGAUGUUUAUGCUACAGGGCAGGAAGCCUGACACCUCCAAACGGCUGCUGAGGUGGGGAGAAAGGCGGCAGAUAACAGCA
ensembl:lncRNA